rnacentral:miRNA from 1 species
GUCAUCAGACUCUCUCUCUCUCUCUCUCUCUCUCUCUCUCUCUGUGUGUGUGUGUGUGUGUGAGAGAGAGAGAGAGAGAGAGAGAGAGAGAGAGAGACAACUUCUGUG